rnacentral:lncRNA from 1 species
GCCUCACCUGCACCCAUCACCCAGCGUCCUCCUGCCACCUCUUGCUCUAGCUGUCAUGCAUGCGUCUUCCGUGCCUUCCCGAGUCCAGUCCGGUGUCAAGAGAGACCCCAGAUCUCUACAGGCUGAUACUAAGGAUGCUGAAUGCUGUGGGCGUGGGCAGAUUUUGUGGGGCUGGAAGACAGCAGCCCUCAGGCUGAACUCAUUCGCCAGCCCCUUCCCAGCACUUGGAGAAACCCAGGUUGGGCGAUUCUAUCCAGACACCUGGAGGGCUGCGCCCAAGCUGCUGCACUCUUGGCGACAGGAACUGAUUUGGAACAGAAGUGGCCUAGAAAGGGCAGGAGAUUGGAUGGUGCCUUCACUGAACAUGGAAGAACUUUAAAACUGCCUGCCCUCCCUCUCCAGCUUUGCCAGCAGGAACUCUCAGCUGACCUCCACCUUCUGCCCCCAGCACCUUGCACACAGUCAGUGUUUUCCCAGGGAUCUGAAGGAAGCCACAGACACAGCCUUGGCUGUAAUGUGAACCUCUUAAGGCGUUUACAAGACUCUCCAACAUCAAUGAUUUUUUUUUUUGUACUUGUUGUUCUAUUUCUGACUCUAGAAUAGUCCCAGCACCUGUUCUGUCUGAUGAAAUAA